GGGGAAAUAGCUCAGUUGGUUAGAGUGCUGGUCUGUCAAGCCAGAAGUCGCGGGUUCGAACCCCGUUUUCCCCG
rnacentral:tRNA from 1 species